GAGAGUUUCAAUUCUUCCAUAUCCUCAUUAAAAAUCAUAUUUGUUAGUUAAUUUCACUUCCCUGAUUAUCAGUGAUGUUUAACAUACUAACAUGUGUUUGUCAUCUGUGUAUCUUCUCUCAUGAAAUGUCUGUCCAAAUUUUUCCUCUAAUUUUUAGGUUGGCUGUUUGAUUUCUUGUUAUCUGAGAGUUCCCUAGACAUUCUGGACACAGUUUGAUACAAGCAGUGGCAGAUUGUGCAGACCUGGGCAAGAUUAAGACUGGAGACCUUCUCAACAAGAAGGAAGAGCUGCUGAAACAGCUGGAAGACCUGAAAGUAAAUCUGUGGCAGAGGCACCUGGGUGGCUCAGUUGGUUGAGCCUCUGGCUCAGGUCACGAUCUCGCGGUCCAUCAGUUGGAUCCCCACAUUGACUUGCUGCUGUCAGUACAGAGCCCUCUUCAGAUCCUUUGUCUCCCUCUCCCUCUCCCUGGGUGUCUCUCUCUCUUUCUGUCAAAACUAAAAUAAACAUCUAAAAAGAAGAAAGCAAAGUUGAGCUGCCCCAGCUGUGUGUCGCCAAAGUGACAGGUGCCAGGGCCUCCAAGCUCUCCAAGAUCUGAGUUGUUCACAAAUCCAUUGCCUGUGUCCUCACCAUUGUCAACCAAACUCAGAAAGAGAAGCUCAGAAAAUUCUACAAGGGUAGGAAGUACAAGCCUCUGGAUUGGUGCCCCAAUAAGACACAUGCCAUCAUCUGCCAGCUUAACAAGCACUAGGAGAAACUGAAGACCAAGAAGCAGCAGCAAGUACAAGGUCAAGACCUGAGCAUUGGCAUCAAUAAAACACAAACUGAAAAAGUAAAUAAAGAUGAGUUGUCCUUUUA